AGCAAAAACUGCACAUUAUACAGGGCGACAGGCAUGGCAGCAGUUUCUGGUGCACAUGUUGCCUGUCUCCCGGUGACAGAAGAUAACAGAGGACUAAGAGCGCACAUAUACCUCAAGAGCCCUAAGGCUGCCACAGGAGAGUAAACAACUCCACCCAGCACUGCUCCAGGCCGGCUGAUCAACAAGGCACUCAUCCAAGGACCCUGCUAAUGACCUCUCACUCCCACCUCUCAAAGCCUGACCAGCCUCGAACUUCACGCUUCCCAAGAUCCUAAACAAGAUCGGCUCCCAGCUUUGCUGAGGAAAGCUGCCACUGAAGAGAGCUCUGCUUCUUACUUGCAUGAGUAAUAAAUUUACCUUGUUGUUGCAAA
rnacentral:lncRNA from 1 species